rnacentral:rRNA from 1 species
GACGAACGCUGGCGGCGUGCUUAACACAUGCAAGUCGAACGGAAAGGCCCUGCUUUUGUGGGGUGCUCGAGUGGCGAACGGGUGAGUAACACGUGAGUAACCUGCCCUUGACUUUGGGAUAACUUCAGGAAACUGGGGCUAAUACCGGAUAGGAGCUCCUGCUGCAUGGUGGGGGUUGGAAAGUUUCGGCGGUUGGGGAUGGUUUGGAGGCUUAUCAGCUUGUUGGUGGGGUAGUGGCUUACCAAGGGUUCGACGGAUAGCCGGCCUGGGAGGUGGACCGGGCUCAUUAGGCCUGAGAGACGGCCCAGUCGGCAACGGGAGGCAGCGGGGGGAAAUAUGACGGAGUGAGCGGAAGUGAGAUGCAGCAGCGCCGGGUGCGGAAUGACGGCUUACGGGUGGUGAACCGCUUUCGCCGGUGACGAGGCGGGAGUGACGGUAAUGGGUAAGGAAGCACCGGCUAACUACGUG